rnacentral:rRNA from 1 species
GGGGGGGGGGGGGGGGGGGGGGGGGGGGGGGGGGUGGGGUGGGGCGGCGGGGGGGGGGGCGGACGGGGGGGUAACGCGUAAAGAACUGGCCUCACGGGUGGGGACAACAUUUGGAAACGAAUGCUAAUACCUGAUAUUAUGGUUUUAGGGCAUCCUAGGAUUAUGAAAGCUAUAUGUGCUGUGAGAGAGCUUUGCGUCCCAUUAGCUAGUUGGAGAGGUAACGGCUCACCAAGGCGAUGAUGGGUAGCCGGCCUGAGAGGGUGAACGGCCACAAGGGGACUGAGACACGGCCCUUACUCCUACGGGAGGCAGCAGUGGGGAAUAUUGGACAAUGGACCAAAAGUCUGAUCCAGCAAUUCUGUGUGCACGAUGACGUUUUUCGGAAUGUAAGGUGCUUUCAGUUGGGAAGAAAAAAAUGACGGUACCAACAGAAGAAGUGACGGCUAAAUACGUG